rnacentral:rRNA from 1 species
GGAAACCCUGUGAUAAGAGCCGGGGGGAUGGGGGGGGGGCAAGUGUGAGUCUGAAUUGUUGUGCGUAAAGUGCGCGUAGGCUGGUUCUGAAGUCGGAUGGGCAAUCCCUGGGCUCAACCCAGGAACUGCAUCCGGGACUGGGAGGCUAGAGUACUGGAGAGGUUGGUGGAAUUCCUCGUGUAGCGGUGAAAUGCGUAGAGAUGAGGAGGAACACCAGUGGCGAAGGCGGCCAACUGGACAGUAACUGACGCUGAGGCGCGAAAGCGUGGGUAGCAAACAGGAUUAGAUACCCUGGUAGUC